UUCGGUUUUUAAUUUUCUGUGUUGUGUUUUUAUUUUGGUCAUUUUCCAUUUUUUUUUUGUUAUAGCUUUGCCAGGUUGUCUUGGACUUAUGAGUUUAAAUUACCAAUUGCUAAAUUCCACAUCUCUUUUCUAUAGAUAAAUUAAUAGUCUGGUUCACGCUUUGCCAUUAAAAAAACCAUAAACGUCAUUCAAAUUAUAUAUAAGGAGGUAGACACUUAUGUAAGGUACUGCAGAUUCACCGAGAGUCAAUGAAAU
rnacentral:lncRNA from 1 species